UAGCCACCUGAGGACAGCACCCUGAGUCCUCCCACACUCCCAUUCUCCCCAGCAGAGCCAGGGGCCUGGCAUGUAAGAGGUGCUCAGUCACUGAGUCCAGCCGCUGGACGCGGAAGCCAAGGACUUGGUGCCUAGACCUUUGGUUGGGAGAGUAAAGAGUGCCAGAAGCUUCCUGAGGCCAGGACACUUUCUUCCAUCUCCGAUUCCCCAAGAGGUUCAAGGAUGACAUCUCCCAUGACUGAAAUUCACACACUGGGCUCCAACUUUUGUGACCGACACUUGAAUACACAAAACUGAUUUCACCUGUGACCUAUGUGUGAAAAUGCUGUCCCCAAGGGCAGGGAGACCUCUCCUCCCUCCCUGACUUCAGUGCCUGACUGAAAACUGCCCAGGACAUAUGAGAGGAAGCUCAUUCUGUCUCCAGAACAUUCCUCAAGAAUGACAGAAAGAGUGCUCCAUCAGAAGAAGAAAGAAAGGGGAGAAGAAAUCCUGGC